rnacentral:rRNA from 1 species
CUGGCGGCGUGCCUAACACAUGCAAGUCGAACGGGGAUUUUGUUUCGGCAGAAUCCUAGUGGCGAACGGGUGAGUAACGCGUAGGCAACCUGCCCUCCGGCCGGGGACAACACUCCGAAAGGGGUGCUAAUACCGGAUACGAAGUCUGUGCCGCAUGGUACGGAUUUGAAAGAUGGCCUCUAUUUAUAAGCUAUCGCCGGGGGAUGGGCCUGCGUCCGAUUAGCUGGUUGGUGGGGUAACGGCCUACCAAGGCGACGAUCGGUAGCCGGUCUGAGAGGAUGAACGGCCACAUUGGGACUGAGACACGGCCCAGACUCCUACGGGAGGCAGCAGUGGGGAAUCUUCCGCAAUGGGCGCAAGCCUGACGGAGCAACGCCGCGUGAGUGAGGAAGUUCUUCGGAACGUAAAGCUCUGUUGUUCCUGACGAACCUCCCCUCUAUCAACAACGGAAGGGACUGACGGUAGGGAACGAGGAAGCCACGGCUAACUACGUGCCAGCCGCCGC